AAACAGGAACAUGGUGCUCUUGAGCAUGCUGAACACCAAGGCCAAAGUCAGCGACCGCCGGGAUGGGAAACCGGUCAUCGUCCUGGACUACAACCGCAGCAAAGCGCCUUUGUGAUAUGGAGAGCGAUCAACCCAGACUGGAUACUGGACAAGCUGAACAAGCGGAGGGUGUUCCUAGAGCAGCUGGAAAAGGCUCUUGUGACUCCGUUCAUUGAAGGAAGGGAGCUAAUCCCCCACACAGAAGAGUCCGCCGCGGUUUUGAACGACGUAAAAGUUGCAGCCGCACAGAGAGCUAUAGUCCAGAUAGACGCUCGAUCCGAGCAUUCGGCCUCUUACACGGCCUUAGCAGCAGCCCCACUCAAGGCGAGUAAGAGGAAGAGCUGUCAGAUAUGCCCCAGGGAAAAAGACUGUAUAACUUGCACCGUGUGCUGCCGGCGUAACAAAUACACGUGCUCACGUGUCUAUUGCCAUAUGUGUGCGUCCUAAUAUGCCGGUGGAAGCAAGGACAACACAAGGGUUGAAUCUGAGUUUACACAGAUUAUUUAUGUAAAUCCAUGUCAGAGGAGCAUGCGGUAAAUUAUGCGUUCCCUGUACAUAGAACAUUACAUAACACACGUAUAUGAAACAAUAUUUUGCAAGAGUUUUUUAUUUUCACUUAUUACACAUUAAGGGGGGUGUAUCAUUGUGAACCAACAAAUGAUUGUGUCAACACUUGGUGUACAAAUAGAUCGGAUGUAUAAAUGUUGCAACUGCCCCCUUGGCCUGCAGUUGCAGAGACGCUUCCUUCUACUGCAGUUGUGUUUCAGUGAUCUUAUUUUCCUCUGUGGCGAAAACAAGAACAUGGGAACCUGUUGGAUUUUACUGGGUCUGCUCUCUAUCUGCAGCCCCUUACAGUCAAGAAUGCGCUCAUGAGUUAAUGGAUAUCCCGGGAUCAGAUAUAACAACUCUCCUUUCUCCUGAUGCAAGGCACUGUCAGCAGCUGUGCACCGAGCACCCCUCCUAUCUCUUCUUUACCUUUCUUCGACUUGAACAACAUCUUAAAAGGAACUUCAACUGCCGACUCAAGUCCACUCCCUCUCGAGAGCCCUAAGUCCAGACUCCAGGACAGGGUCUCACUUCGGGCUUUUCUCUCAAAAACUGCCCCUCAAAGCUGGAACAACCUUGUCAGCCUGGAGUAUCUGGAUUCUCCCACAAACUGCAAAUAACUCAAUACAUUGAACCAGGUAUGCACAGGUGGAAGCACAACAUCCUGCAGGAGGUCUUUUACAAUAUGUUUCCUUAUUAUAUUACCUGUGUGUUUAACAGCCUUAUUUGUUGUUCCUGGGACAAUAUCUUGACAAUCCUAUUGGGAGUUGAACAUUUGGUUCUGCAAAUUCAGCUAAAUAUGUUAAUCUGCUUGGUUUUUUCCUAACUCUCUAAACUUGUAUUUUAUUCAGUCAUGACUUCCAAUGUUACUUGAAGGGAAAUUAAUAUGUAAUUGGGAAAAAAACCAAAGUGGGAUUCACAUCUGGGAUACCGGUGCACUUCUGCAAGAUGAAUGACAGUAUGUAUCACAAUGCAACACCUAGACUGAACACAGUGUUUGUUGACCAUCAGAAAACACACACACCGACUCUGACCUGUUUUAAACACAGGUCUAAGAAAAACAAAAUUCACCCAUUAUAAAUCCAACAAAUAUCAAUUAUGAACUGAGUGUCAGACAUUUUGCAACAUGUGUAAAUAGGUUACACUUACAUCUGGCUAUUAUGUAAUACUUGUUAGAGUAGUAUGUUUGGGCUUUGGCCAGCAGGGGAGUCUGACUCUUUCCCUCUCUGCUGACAGGUUGGCUUCAAGUGUCACAUGAAGGAGUUCAUUUCCAAGGUUCUGACCUUCACUCUGAAAUGAUGUAUGAUCCAGACAUGUGUCAGAGGGCCUGUACUACAGAUCCUCUUUGCCAGUUCUACACCUACUUCAAUGAAUCCUACUCCAACCCUGAUUUCAGAUGGUUUGUAUGAUCUUUUAGCCUGGAUGCCAGACGAACUUAGCCCUACAACAUUUGAGGUCGGGAAGUUCGGUCUGGAGUCGCUCUGUUGGGGAGAAAUUAUCCCCGACCGGCCCAAUCACAUUGUCAGGGCGGGCUUUAUACGAUGAUGGACAGAUGAUCAACAGUAACGUAAUCAACCACGUCAUCAAAGUGCCCUUGGGUUGAAUUCAUUUUCAACAAAGAUGCCUGCCGCUGGAGAGCGGAGAUUCAGUUUGAAAGAGGAACGAGAACGUGGAGGCGACGCCAAAGCACCGCGCGAAUCCCUAUCGCACCGGCGCUUGGCUGUUCCCACCGGACACUGAAGCGACGCUGAACCGCCGGGAAGCGCUAAUAAUAUCACCCAUUGAUCCAGUAGAUUAAAAGCAUAUACUUACUUGUUGAUCCAACAUUAAGCAACAGCGUCCCAACAUCUGUCUUUCUUGGUGUUGUCUUUAUACAACAUGUUCCGAGGAUCAUACAACUCACUGUACUUCUCCACUUCAAUUAUUAAUUUAAUGUCAUCCAUGUUGAAGAACUUCGCUGCUUGCUCCGUUAAACGUCGGGUGUCGGGGGUAAAUUACGUAUUCUCCACUCAAGCCUAUGUGGAGAAUACGUAGCCCCUCUUUUUAUCUGUAUCACUGCUUGUGUGGCUGUAGUGGAUGGGCAGAGGGGGACAUUUAAUAAUGUCAUUGGUCAAAUUAAAACUCCAGGACAACAGAAGGGGACCUCAAAGUAUGGGAUGCAUAUUUGAUCAUUUAUAUCAUAUAAAAUAUGUCAUCAAUAUAGUUUAAAAUCGUUUUUCAGUGUGUUUCCUGGUGCGAUACACUCGCGUCAAGCGCAAAAAAUAGACUCGACGCCGAAACGAUCGCUGCACAGCGCGAGGCAGCCUCUUGUGUGACCCGCACAAUGGUUUAACAUGGGAGUGGAUGGGAGCCAGCUGUUAUUUAAGGCUUGGCGCUGCGCUGGCGUCAGUAAAUAACUCACCAUGCGUCACUUAACAUAUGUCACAUACUACGUUGCUCUGAUUGGUUGUAGGUCUAUCCAAUUGAGCGAAGAGGAAUUUUAUUUCCUGGUUCGGUUGAAACAGGCCCCAUAAUCACAGCUCAAUGGAGCGGUCUGGGACUCACAUUCUGACUAGAAUUGUGAGUCUGACAACGUGAGGGUAAUGAUCUUUUGUUGUUGGACACGGACAUGGAAAUGAGUGAUUAACAGGCUUGCCUGCCAACUAGUAUCAAUCGGACAGGUCCUGUCAGAGAGAGAUGCAAGCUCAUAGGCUGGCCAUAGCCAUGACAACUGAACACCACGUGGUGUCUUGUUUACCUUCAAUAGGGUUCCAUAACUAUAAUAACGCCAGAACCUGCUAAACCCCCAUGUUAGCCCUGGAACCUAUGUUUUACUCUAUGUUAUGGAUUUUGAUGAAUUGAAUGUUGAGGAAAUAAUGAAUGGACAUUGAGGGAAGAGGUUGAGGUGAAGAUAGGAGAUGAGGGAGGAAGGAAAGAGGGGAUGAAGGGAUGAGGGAAGGAUGAUGAAGGGAUGUGUGUAAGGAUUGAUGAAGGAAAGGAAAAAUAAAGAAAGCAUGAUGGGUUGAUCAAGUAAAUUUAGUCUUGACAGAUGAAUGCACAGGUAGUUGAGGUUCAGGCUGGUCUCAUCAAAAUUUCGUUUGAAAUGUUACUAAAGGACAUCCGCACAAAUUCAUAUGAAUUUGAGCUAGGAUAUUACAUUUUCAAAAAAAAAAAAUGAAAAUGUAAUGAUAUGGCACAAUGGAACUUAGCUAAAGAGGAGACAGUGUGAGAGCAACAAAGUCUAUCUUUUUACUCUGCAAAUAAGCAAUGAUUCUCACAUACUAUUCUAAACGAUAGUACAGAUGUUGCCACGUCAACAUGUCGCGCGAUGGCGCUGCAGAUGUUAUGUGGGCUCAACUCUACCGACUGAGAAUGCAAACGUGUGAGAAAGCAUCAUUCGCCCGCUGGUCACACAUCAUUGACAAGUAGGUCAGUUGUUAAUCGUUAACUGCUAAUGACACUUAAAGCAAAACUUGGCUCUAUAAAAAUGAUUCAUCAAUGCUACAGUCUGCAUGUAUUGAUUAUUCAAAUUCUAUUUAUUUCUCUGUCACGGUGGUUUGAAGACCAACAUUAGUCAAUUGUAACUGCUAAAGCACCAUUAAACACCAUUAAAAGUUCAGGCCACACAUUUUGUUGUAUUGACUAGCAGAAGUAAUAUGUCAGCAAAGUCCAGGAAGAAUAUUAGAGUCGAGGAUUCUCACACAGGGAUGUUCUUAUACUCAAGUUACGAUGUAUAGGUACAAUGGCUGUCCUCGAUCUAAAAUAUACUCUAAUAAUAAUAAUUAUAAUAAUGAUGAUAAUAACCAACAAAGGUGGAAAAACAUGUUCUCCAUAUGCAAUUGUUUACAAGUAAUUAGUUAAAUCAAAUGCUUAUCAUAAAAUGCUUAAAGUUGCUGUGGAAGAAGUAGGGUAAUAUUCUGUAAUGAACCUUGACAUAAGUUUCCACUCACAAAUAAACCCGAACCUACGAUAAUAUGAUCCUGUAUCCGGAUCACUAUUUGCAGCUGAGAAUUGUUAGUAAGUGUUAAUUAGGUCAUAGGUGUUUUAUAGCAACCUAAGUUUUGUCUGUUUUCCCUCAGAUUGCUAUAUCUAUCUUUGCACAUCAAGAUGUUAUUCUGACAAUCUUGACAAACUGUUCACUCAUGACCAAUUGAUCACUAAUAGGACGACACUAUAGAUAUUGAAAUACAAAUUUAUUAUAAGAUAAAAUGGCCUCUGAUGGAUGAACUCUAAUAUUUUUUUCUCUUUUCCUUUUCAGUUGAAAUGCCAGGGUCAAUGAUGAAAUCCUGCAUAUCUUGCAUGCAGCAUAUACGUGUUGCAUGCAAGAUAUGCAAACUUUGGGGAGCCCAGCAGCCCAUGAAGAAAGCUUUAGAAAAAGCAAAAGUUAAGGCAGAUAAGGAAUGGGGAGCCAAAUUAAAAAAAGGUGGAAAUAGGAACAAGUUAUUGAAUGCUGCCCGGAUUCUGGUAAGCUCUUCACUACCUGUAGCCUGCUGACUCUUCACACUAGUCACAUAUCCCGGUCGAAUGAAUGUAUAAUAGUAAUAAUUAUCAUAAUUAUUAUAAUUAAUUGUAUUUGUAUAGAACAUUUGUAACAUUCAUGCUCAAAUCGGACAAUCGUACAAUACAACAUAUAAAAUUGAUAGUCAUAGCCCCAUUUCUUACUAAAUUUACUGCCCAGAAAGCUGUAAAAAAACUCUAUUAAAAUCUUUUUAAUGCUAUAAGGUGGUCAGGUUAUAGGCUUUACUGUUUGACCAGAUCAGGGCCAUGGUCAAUUGGAACAACAAGGAUAUGGAGGUACUAAUGCUUUUUGUUUUUAAUAGUUAAUCCAUUUUUUUUAUGUUCCCGAUUUGUUUUCAGGUUCACAAAUUCAAAGUGGCAGGGUUACAUCCCAUGCUUCUCUUUGGGAGGGAGAAGAAGGGCUCUGUGUCCUGUGACUCCAUCAGUGGUCUGGAGCUAGUUUCAGACACUGAUAACAAGUCCUUGAAAACUAUACAAGGACUUUAUGGAAGCCUUGUGACAGUUACACACACAGGCGCCAGUCCAACGUUGUGUCAUCCGUGUGUGCACCCAGAAGAAGUGCACGAGAAGCAGCGGGACAGAUGUUUUAGGGACGGAUCACUUGAGAGAGAAGUGGAGAGAAUUGAUUGGGAGUAUUCACCUUGAAUAUUACAGAUGAGAUGAAGCACUGCAGCACCUGAUGUCCUCAGCAUUUACUGUGGCAGCAGCAACAUGGUGGAGAUCGGCAGCUUCAGGCUGGUCAACCUGAGGACGACCUGCACCAGCUUCAUCUGCACAACACUUCAUGUUUUCCUCCCUUAACUAAAGAUGGCCUGCAGCUGUUUAGAGUUGGCAGUCAUUGCUAAGUGUCAUGGAUAAUAGAGAUUGCUACCUAGCUGCGACAGAAGCAUCAUCAGAUUGCUACCCAGCUGCGACAGAAGCAUUAUCAGACGGAUCGUGACCAACUUCUCCAU